CAUUGACGAAUACAUAGACGGAGUGGUGGCCAUUUUUCGGAGCACCACUUAGUACCCCUGGGGAGUGACCGAUUACAAUUAUUACAGUCAUUCGACUAUUGGGAAGCCCCCCAAUUAAAUUUACGAAAAAUUUGACAGUUCAUUUGUUUACAUUAUUUUGCGUGAGAGUUUUAUUUCCAACGUAAACGGAGUUCCAAGUUUCGUUUGAGAAUUUGUCAGGGAUCGUGGCAAAAUUAUCGGCAUCCAGUGACGGCGUGCAAAAAUUUCUAUUCGUUUCCGCGGAUUUUGUGAUUAAGUGUUGUUUUUCUACGUUGUUUCUUUCCAUCUGAGUCGGUCCCAUCCGAAUAUAAAGGAAAUUUCUUCUGCCUGCUGCUGCCGUGAAAGUAUCAAUUACACCGGGAUUUCCAUAUCAAUCGGAAGCUUGGCCAUAGCCGAAGUACAUAACGGAAGUGAGUGCUUGUAAGAACAUUUAAGAAAAAAUAUUGGAAAUAUUGAAAGUACUUAUCUCACACCAACGCAACGAUUAUCAAACGAUGAUAUAAUUGAAAAACAGUAACUUCAUGUCAGGCAGCACGACAUUUGCUCUCAUUAUGAUCGAAAUUUUUCCAAUCGUAUUACAUGCGGCUUGGUCCGGCUCAUGCUACGUUCAGUCGGUUUGCUCAACGGCUGAAAACAGGAGGUUGUCAAGCUGGAACAGGUUGGAACAAUCACCCCCGGUUGAUAGUAUCCUGAAGAUUAUACCGGUUUUAAACAUGCUAAUUCACAAAUCACUGUUUGGCCGAAAUUAAUUCCCCUAUUAUUGCAUGUCAGAUCCAGCGCAGUCGGCUAUAUUGCCACCGGUUAAGAUUAUCAGACACAUCAGGUUGUAGAGAACCAUUAUGAAUAAUGUCAUAUAUCACCACAGGAAAUCAGAUAAAUAAACCAGAAUAAUCAAAAUCUGAGAGUGACUUCCAAACGUAAAAGGUAUAGGCUUGAAAUAUUUUUUUCGGUUGGCGGCAACCAAAUGCAACACGGUUGAUUCGAACCUUUGCCAUUCCACCGUAUUCAUGUGCAAGUUAUGAAUGUCAUCUUGCUGAAAACAAAACAAAAUUUUGAAAUCAAACAAAAUGUGCAUGAAGUUGAAUACUUUAAUAAAAAAUAGCUUACGUAAUAAUAAACAGUCAUGAAUAACUAG